rnacentral:lncRNA from 1 species
AUGCCUCUGGGCCUAUUUCCUGGCUGAUCAACCACCUGGAGGGCGUGUCUGCCAGUCAAUCCUCUCCUUUAAAGACCAAGGCCAAGGUCACAGAGCCCAAGGAAUUCAACCUGACUGCCCCCAGGCCCCGCACCAUUCCAGCGCCCGAACCAGUCCCGGUCGUGGCCAAGCCGAGACCCGUGAGUGUGGGCAUUCUCAGCAGGCACUGGCUUGCAGGCAUCAGGGUAUGGGUGGCAAGGGUCCCACCGUGAGGGCAGACCCGAGCUGGGCAGCCCAUAUGGUGCAUGCCGCAGGGCUGCAAUGACCGAGUGCCCAGAGGGGUGGCCUUUGCAGCCACUCCUCUCACUGCAGCUUGCGGUGCCCACCCUGGGG